UACGAAGGGGGCGAGCGUUGUUCGGAUUUACUGGGCGUAAAGGGCGCGCAGGCGGCUAUCCAAGUCAGGCGUGAAAGCCCCGGGCUUAACCUGGGAGGUGCGUCUGGGACUGGGUGGCUAGAGAUCGGGAGAGGAGAGUGGAAUUCCCAGUGUAGAGGUGAAAUUCGUAGAUAUUGGGAAGAACACCGGUGGCGAAGGCGGCUCUCUGGACCGAUACGUGACGCUGAGGCGCGAAAGCGUGGGGAGCAAACAGGG
rnacentral:rRNA from 1 species